rnacentral:tRNA from 1 species
UUAGUUAAAGCCAAAAAGAGGCGUAUCACUGUUAAUGAUAGAAGUGAAAUUUUUUUCUAACUAAG